CACCUUCUCCCCCUUUUCACAAAUCAGACCAUCUUCUCUACCGAAGUUUCAAUCUUUCAUACUGUUUUCAAUUUAGGGUUUGAAUUUGGAUUCUGGGUAUGUCUCAAUUUUGUGAAUCUCGCGUCAAUUACUGAUUACCAGUGCUCUAAACCUUGUGGGCUCUGUGUAUGAUAUGACGCCAUAGCAAUUCCUUUCUGCAAUAUCUUGUGUGCUGUUUAUCCUUUCUUCUCAGUUCCUAUUGCAGAGUGGGAUAAUUCUCUGCUAGUUUUCAACAAUUUUCAGUUUUGUAGUUUGUUUUUUCAAACUGUUUUGGGUUUUGCUAGGAAUUAGGUUUUAGUUAUUUUUCUGUGUUUUUGUCUUUGAUUUUAGUCUGUUAAUUUUUUUCAUUGAAAGAUGGAUGUGAUGAUUUUUUCCCCAGAUGAUCGAAGCUGAACAAUCUGUGCGAUUUUUUUCUCUUAGGAGAAAUCAAGCCAAAUAAAUCUGAUCCAUCUCUGAUACUGAAAAAUCUUUUUAUGUGUUGCAUUUAGGUGUUGAUUUUCAUUUGCUUCUCUAUGUCUUGGAUUAUAUUUGGUUCAUGAUUUUAUUGAAUGUUUGUAUUUUUUGGAGAAAUAAAUUAAUAUGGUAUCUGAUACCUAAAUAUCUGAAUUCCUUACAAUUUGUUCUCCAGAUAUCAAUGAUCAGAAGUUUAAUGCUUGCAUUGCUUUUUGUUGGCAUUGCAAGUUUGGCUCUUGUGUUACAUACAUCAUGGAAUCCAUUCCUUUUAAUACUUCCUUGAAUAAUUUGUAUUUCCUUAGCUUGUAUUUUAGAUUAAAAUUGAAAUGCUGUUAUCUUUGUUGAAAUCUUAGUAGAAAAUGUUUAACAAUGUGUGAUUUUAGUUGAUGAUUAAAGUUGGAGGUGAUGAUUAUUUCCCCAGAUGAUCGAAGCUGAACAAUCUGUGCGAUUUUUCUCUAUUGAGAAACCAAGCCAAAUAAUCUGAUCCAUCUCAAUAGAACUCAUUUAUAUUUCUUAAAUGUAUGAAAUUAUCAUUAUUCUGGUAAAUUUUAGAUACAAUGUUUAGUAAUUUUUUAAAAACAACACAGCCUUUUUUGUCAUGCGAUAGAAAAGUUUCCAUUAGAUGCAAUAUUCACAUUCGUUUCUUUGCUAUGAAAAUAUUUAGUAGCUAAUUUUUUUUUAUUUCAAAUUAGUUCCUCGUUGUUUUGUUUACCUUGUAAAUAUUCUUAGUUUAAUUUACUUAAGACAGUUGUUUGAAUCAAAUAUCCCGCAACCUGGAUUAUGAUCAUUCAUUGGAGUUAACAUUGGUUUUUGCUAUGAAAUCCGCUUCUUUGUUGACUUCACUACAGAUUAGUUCUGAGACAUAUAUAUGGAUGUGAAGUGUUGUGCUGAGGUAGCAAGGUUGUGGAUUUUAUGGUCAAAGGCCAUCAACAACAUUUAAUUGCAUAUUGAAAACAUACUCAGAUAAAUUCAAAAUGUGUUUGGAGCAGCCCUUUACUAGUUAGGGAUCCCUAAUCUCUUGGCCACUACUUGGAAAAUUUUAAAGACAACUUUCGAUAAUUUUAUAAAUUUAGCCACUACAAGUUUUUGAUAUUUUUUACACUUUUAGAUAUCUUUACAAAUUUAGUUUUUCGAAAUUGAAAUCAUUUUCUAUUAUAACAUUUUCAAUUUUAUUUUAUAUAGUUUAAAAUGAAAACAUGAAAUAGACUGACAAAUAAAUCCUAAGCCCCUAUCCAAAAAAUGGAGUACUACAUCCAAAUGACAAAAAAAAUAGCCCCUCAUUCCAAAACAAAAGUUCCAAGAUCCUGGUUAAGAACCAAAGAUUCAAAUUCUGGUGGUACCUCUUCUGUUCAAACUGGAGUUAUGGGAUUUUGAAGAGUUUUUGGCUAAGUAAUCAGCUACAGAAUUGCUGAAUUGACGCACUAAAGUCUAAUUAAAACUGAAAAGGAUGAGACUAAGUCUCUAUAAUCAUUUAAAAUGGAAAACAAAUAAGAAGAAGAACCACUAUUUGCCUUAUUUCAAGUCUCAAAGUGAGGUACUUUCAAAAGAAAACAGUCUUAAAGAAAUGUAAGCAAUCUGUCUCAAGAGUCACUUGUUGGAAUCCAAGGUCUUUAUCAUUUAAAAUGGAAAACAAAUAAGAAGAAGAACCACUAUUUGCCUUAUUUCAAGUCUCAAAGUGAGGUACUUUCAAAAGAAAAAAGUCUUAAAGAAAUGUAAGCAAUCUGUCUCAAGAGUCACUUGCUGGAAUCCAAGGUCUUUAUCUAGGGAGAGUAGGGUUGGCAAUGGCCCCGUGGGUGCGGGUUUGGUCAUUCCCACACCCGAACACAAAUUUAACAUCUAAACUCAAACUCAAUAUGGGUGCAAAAGUUAAACCCAACCCCAAACUCUUGGAUUUCGGGUUACCCAAACCCAAACCUAAAAUCCGAUGUGAGAACCGAACCCGCAAAAAACUCAAAUACCCGAUCCGGAAACAAAAUGAACAUAAGCUGAUUAAACUUCAUCAUCUUUCCAAUACAAAGGAAAAAUUAAAGUCCAUGAACAUAUGCUGAUAAACAACAUAAUGUAUUGAUUUAUAAACAUCCAAAUUCUAAAUGUCUAAUUAAACUUCAUUCUUCAAUGUUCUUCUAAUUAAACUUCUCAGUAGAAGUAUUCAACAAAGAACAACAACUACAAAUAAUAUAACAAAAUAACAAAAACAGCCACAAAUUCUGGUUUGAGUUUGGGUGCGGGUUUAAUCAAUCCCACACCCAUACCCAAACAGGUUAUAAAAUUUGGGUGAAACCCAAAUCCACACCCAAACCCAAACCCAAAGAAAUCGGGUUUUGUCUAAAAUUUCGGGUUGUGUUCAGGUUGGGCCCCGCGGAUUUGAGUUUUCUUGCCAUCUCUAAGAAAAAGUGACCAUUGAAAAGCUAAUGCUUCCGCCACCAAAGGAGAUGGUGCCUCAACCGGAUGCAUAAUUGUUGCCAUAACUUGCGCAUGUUCUUUCCUUGCAAUUAAGCCAAAUCCUGCACCUACAUUUAGCACCCAAGAUGUCUCAAAAUAUAUUUUAAUUAAGUCACCCCUUUGGCUUGGUCCAUGUUCCCCUUUUCACACGUUGUUCCUCUGCUUGGACCAUACCCACCGCCACAUGUUCCCCUUGCGCACAGAGAUUGCCAAACCGCCCUAUAAUUCCCUCAAAGUUGGGUUGUUUCUGCUGGUGUACAACACCAUUUUGCAUUUUCCAUAUCCCAUAAAUAAAGUUAAGGCAUCGCCCAAUAAGUUGAGCAUCAUUCUGGUAAAAAAUCAGGAACUCUUCUAGUUCCUCAUUAUGUCGAAACCUCGCCCCCAUGGGAGAUGCAAACCACCACCUUGUCACCACCGGACAUGUAAAUAGUAUAUGUGCUACCGCUUCUGGACCUGCACAGCACAACGGACAAUCCUCCUCGACUUGGACACCAUGAAUAUUGCGUCGGGAGAAUCUUCUUCGCAGCUCCCACGCUACUUCCUUGCAGCGAGGAAGAGCCUCUGCCGACCAAAGAGCCUUCCAGAAUUUUGGAUGUAGUUGUUGCCCUCUAGAGAAAGACCCCGUUGAGAAAGAAGAUUCAUUAUGAGGCAUGAUUUAUUUAAUCUGUCUCCAUGGAGGUGGUGGGUGGUGGGUUAUUAGUUGGAUCAUAACUGUUGGUUCGUUCGAGGAAUUCCAAGGAGCGGAAGGAGGAGAUUGUGAAGGAACGCUGCAGGAUCACGCUGGAGGAGCUACAGAUGUCCAUGGCGGAUUGGUUUACGAUGGUCCACCCUUCGGGGGGGACUAGGUUUGAGAUGCUUGAUCAGGAGAUCCCCGGCUCAUGGGUGGUCGACCCCGCUUGCCACAAAGCGAUUUACUCGGGGAGAAUAAUGGAAGAUCGUGUCGACAGUCUGGGACACUUGACGGAGGGAGUUCUGAGGCGUUACACAAUCAGCUUUAACCUGCCACCCGGCGUGCACUGUGGACCCGGUGUAGGAGUACCACCACCACCGUCGUCUUCUGACGAUGAGGACCCCUCGGAGGAGGAGCCUGUGGGAGGGACUUCAUCAGACUCUAGCUCACCUACUGUUGCCGUUGCUGAUGACCUUGGUUCGGGUCCUGGACCCGUGAGACCAACACAUAAGCAUGUUGCAGUAGCGAGAUGGGGGAUGGUUGCAGACAUUGACCUAGUCGUCCUGGAUUCUGAUUCGGACGAUGACCACGCUAGCAUGUAGUUGUGAGUGCUGGGGUGUACUCCUCUGGACAGGAUUAGGGUAGGAGUAGCAUUAUAGCUCUGUUCGUCAUGUUCGUAUUUUGGGGCAGGGUAGGUUUCCGACCUUUAGCUUUUUGUGUGGUUUUCUUUAUGGAAAUCACAGAGAGUUGGUCGGAUUAGGAGGUCUUGUUUAGACCGUUUUGGGCUGACCUACUUUCGUUUUGGAGGACUGUAUUACGAACACUUGACCUUUCACUUUGGUUUGUACAUAUUGCCCACGGGCACCACUUUCGGUUACUUCCCGUCAUUGGAGGAUACUCGUGACGUGGUCCACUACUUACA